rnacentral:lncRNA from 1 species
CAUUGCCUUUAACAUCUAAUCUGUGUUUAUUUAGGAUUUUAUAGUUUUAAGUGUUUUUAGUACUUUGGAACUAGUAAUGCUUGUUUAUCAUGUUUAAUGAUGUAGGUUAAGGAACGGCUCUGAAGUGUGGAUUGAAGAUGUAUCGCUGAAGAUGUGUAAAGCUGCAGCAUGUAACACCUUAAACCCUUAAAGCAAUAAAUUACACAAAUAGUAUAAAACAUACAAAGGAUUUAGAUGCUACUUCUUCUAUAAGUUUUGAAACAUGCAUAAUUAAUUUUUCAGAACAUCACAACGGAAUAAUAAUAUCAUCAUAACUCAUCACAUCACCAAAGUAGCAAUGACGCAUAAUCAUAUAAUACAUCUCCAGAAUAAAUCUAACAUCUCAACAUACUGAGUGAAUAAAAUCUCGACAAGUCAUAGAAUGUAAAUAACAGACAGACACCCAAAUUAGAGCUGACACACUAAGACUCUGAAAGUAAAAGACGAGGUAGCUAUAAAGCUAGCCUCCAGCAACUCAACAAGUAAAACAAAACUACUCUUGCACACCGUCUACGCAUCCAUACGAAUAAGGUAGGUAGUCAACCAAACGACCAUUGGGGGUUAGUUCACAUUUCACAAUUAAAGUAUAAUCAAAUGAAAAUGAACGCCAUAAUUAAAUUCAAAUGAUUAAACAACGUAACACUUAAGCAGCUCAACAUCAUCAAUCAUAUAAGUAUAACAAUACACAAGUACAUUUUCAACAUCAUCAUAUAUUCACCAAAUUUCACCAAGCAUGUAAUUCACCAAGUUCACCAAUGCACAUAAAUCACCAAGCACAUAAACAAAUAAGACACAUUUAAUCAAUUAUCAAAUGUAUGUAAUGCGCCUAAAAACGACUCUAUAUGCAUGUGCUACUAGUCGUCACCUCAAGAUACAAAUGUAUCAUAGUCGUUAUCAUUUGAAUACAAAGUAUUAUGGUCGUCUUCGUUGGAUAUAACAUCCCAGUCGUCUUUAUUGGGUAUAAAUAUCCUACUUAUAAAUGCAUGACAUACGACUCGACAAUGUAUACGUUCAACACCAAAUUAUCAUCAUUUUUCAUACAUGCAUUCAUCAGCAAUUAUGUCUUCAUUUUGCAUGUUCUGAUUCAUCAACAUAAAUCAUCAUCAUCAUCAUCAUAAUCAUUAUCAACAACAAUCAACUGAAGAACCAACAAAGUUCCAAAAUCACAUUUUGCACAAAAGACGAAAAAUUAUCCACAUCAUGACAUUCAUCAAAUUAAACACCCACUCAUUGUGGAUUCAUUCUUAUUAUAUCAUAUCAUCAUGAAUAUAAAGCCAAUUGCAAGUUAUCCGAUCAUAAAACCUCAUUUCAACAAAGUUCAUCUAUUUUCAUAAAAUUGACCAUUUUCAAUUUUACCAACCAAAUUAGGGUUCAAAGUUCUUUCAUGCAUACUAUUAAGACUUCCCUACAUAUAAUCUAACAUCUUAGUUAAUCAAUCAUAACAAGUUCACUUCACAGAGUUCAACUAGUUCUCAAAAAUUGCAAAGUUCAUCUCUUUUUUCUUCAUGUUUCAAACUCAAUUCAUUUCCAAGUAAAAUUAAGUUAAAACACUUCUAAACAACACUAAUUCAUGAUUAAAAACUCAUUUAUUCACUAUAAAUAUUUCCAUAAACUCAAUGUUAAUUUUGAAUAUGUUUCAUGGUUUAGUGAAAAAGUUAUAAUAAAGUUUCAUGAAAAAGUGACACAUGACAUACGUGUAUUAAUUUGACCAUAAAUCAAGUUGUAGAAAUCAUUUUGAAGUAAGACCAAAUCCAUUAGAAAUAUAACAUCCAUAUAUAAAACUUUCAUGUUUACAACUAAGGCUGAAUCUAUUUACAUCAUAUUCAAUCGAUUCAAAACAAGUCAGAGAGAAACCAUGAUACGAUUCAAAAUUGUCUGAGUCGAUUUAAAGCGGCCCAGAUGCAGAAUGAUGUGAUUCAAAAUUUCUUGAAUCAAUUAAAUGACCUAGAAAACACAAUUUUAGCUUCUGGUUCAUCCCCAAAAUUCUUAUUUUGAUCCCCAACAUACCCAAAACGAUAAAAAAUCAUUUUCGAAGGUUCAAAUACACUAUUUAGACUCUUUUUACGACAAUACAAAACAAUUUAUACUUCAAUUCACUUAAUUCAUCAAGGUUCCAACAACAACAACUUACACACAACAACACAUAUAUCACACUUAAUUCCUGAAUCAUCAUCACCAACAUAUACCCGUCAACAAUCAUAGCAUAUAAUUCAUUCAUGAACUUGUCAAUUUUCAACAACAACAUCUUCAUUUCAUCAAUUUAAGUUAAAACUUCAAAGCUAUCAUUUCAACAUAGUUAUACCAUGAAAUUUAAGUACCCACGACAAGAAUUAAAAAUAUUUCAUAUACUCAAAUUUAUCGCAUAAUCGUGAGCACGAAAUUCAACAUUUAAAAUCAUAAAAAGUCAUAAUUCACCAUAACCACCUAUUCUCAUAAUUGAAAAGAUGAAGAUUAUAACUUAAUUAUAAAAAGGAGCUAUCCUCCUUACCUCUAGGUCUUGAACUCACUAGCUUAGGCUUCAAUUUAGCUCCUAGCUCUUCAAACCUCAAACUCUCCCUCUAGCUUCCUGUUCUUUCCUCUUGUGAUCUACUUUCUCUCUCUACCUCUUAUGUUUUUAUGAAAUAAAAUAAUGAAUGGCCUAACCUAAUUUUCUCAUCUUUCUUACUAAAGCUUGUCUGGUCAAGCAAUAUCAUACCCUAAUUUUAACCUAAUAUUUUCCAUAUAUGAUCCAAGCAUUGAACUCACUGGCUUAGGCUUCAAUUUAGCUCCUAGCUCUUCAAACCUCAAGCUCUCCCUCUAGCUUCCUGUUCUUUCCUCUUGUGAUCUACUUUCUCUCUCUACCUCUUAUGUUUUUAUGAAAUAAAAUAAUGAAUGGCCUAACCAAAUUUUCUCAUCUUUCUUACUAAAGCUUGUCUGGUCAAGCAAUAUCAUAUCCCACUAUUAACCUAAUAUUUUCCCUCCAUCAUCCAAGCAUUAAAUUCUCCUUAGUUCUUUUCCUAAUCAUCACUACUAGAUCGUCUACCCGUGCUGCCGCACGGGUCAUAUACAGUUAAAAACAAAUUGAAUAGAUGUAAAAUACCCACAAAUUCUUUGACAAAACAAUAUAAUUGAGUUAAUAUGAAUUUGGAAAAUUACGCGGACUUCGCCACGGGAUUGGAUACACAAUUUUUUAAUAGGGUGGCUUAGGAAAAUACAUUAACUCAAUACGGCACUUAGUAUUACUAAACAUAAGCAGAUUCAAGCUUAAAAACAAAACAUACUUAACUAAAGCCAAUCCAAAAAAGUUGCAAUACAAAUUUGGAUCCAAAAAAGUGACUGAUAUGUCAACACUUAAUAAUUUAGACAAAAUAUGAAAUAUCAUAACAGGAAAAUACCUCUUCUCUAUCAUAACUUCAUGUUCGUUUUCGUUUGGAUCACUCAAUGUUACAUAUGUAGAAAUUUGAUACCCAAACUCCCUUGUAAACAUAGAAGGUAUCUUUGCUUUACAUGUUUAUACUUUAAACAUCAAAUCAAAUGUUCAAAAUGAUAUACAGUAGCAUGAGUUUUUAUAAAACAAAAUCCAUAUAUUACUUAAAAAAUAGGGGUUAACACCAACUACUUACAUGUAAAUCCCUUUAGAAACCAAUGAACAUUGCAUCCACACCCACAUAAACGAUUGAAUAGUCUCCUUUUGUCACCGUCUUCUCUCCCUCUAAUUCUGCAUUUGAGAAAUCUGGUCAACAGUCACUCAAUCUUUUAUGCUACCGCUUGAUUAUGUUGUCACUGUCGCACCAAAGUUUCCCACGGCUUCCUGCCGGCACUAAGCUUUCAACGAUGUCAUAAGUGAGUCUCUAAAUCAAUAUACGGAUCCUCCACCAGUUUCCAAAAAUCGCAACACAAAUCACAUUUCUCCCAUUAAACCAUUAAAAAACAAUAUCUAACUUAAUUAUUCAUUACCAUAAUCAUCAGCAUUUCUUUGGUACGAUGAAUGAAAAACAAACAUUAAGUUGAAGCUCUCAUUUGCAAUUGAAAGUACUAUUCAAGAAAAGCUUCAAACUAUUUGAUAAGCAGGUAGAAAGAAUAAGUUUGAUAUUAAACUAAAACUAUGCUACUCAAAAUGAUAAAAGCAAAAUCAAGGACCAUAAACAAAGCAAAAUAAAAAAACAGGCGUACCAAAAAAAGUCGAUAGAUAGAAUCAAGGUUGAGAUGACAAAGUGGAGACCGGAAAUGAUGAUUCGGCGUGACGCAAUAAAACUAAGCAAGCGAAUGAUCCAAUGGGGUGACAUGCAUGAGGAUUUUGGGAAGAUGAACGAAGCGUGAAAGGACGUUGAGAAGGACGAACAAUCGACGAUGGGUGUUACGUUUGACGGUUGCAGGGGAGGAGAAGUGGAAGAUGCCGGUGGAGGUGUCGAGAGGGUAAGAGGUGAAAUGGGUCUCAAAGUUUGAAGGCAAAUGUUGAUUUUUUAUUUAAUUAUUUAUUAGAAAAUGAACAAAUUAAUUUUAACCUAAUAUUUUCCCACCAUCAUCCAAGCAUUAAAUUCUCCUUAGUUCUUUUCCUAAUCAUCACUACUAGAUCGUCUACCCGUGCUGCCGCACGGGUCAUAUACAGUUAAAAACAAAUUGAAUAGAUGUAAAAUACCCACAAAUUUUUUGACAAAACAAUAUAAUUGAGUUAAUAUGAAUUUGGAAAAUUACGCGGACUUCGCCACGGGAUUGGAUACACAAUUUUUUAAUAGGGUGGCUUAGGAAAAUACAUUAACUCAAUACGGCACUUAGGGUCCGUUUGGAUUAGCUUAUUUUAGAGUUUAUAUAAAAUAACUUAUGCAAAUAAAUAAGUUUUUAUGUAUUAUUUAUAAGUUUUCAAGCUAUUUUAUGGAAAAACAGGUUAUGAAGAUGUGAUUUUCGUUAGCGAGAGCUUAUAAAUUAAAAUAAAAACUUAUUUAUUUACAUAAGUUAUUUUUCAUAAGCCUAAAAUAAGCUCAAACCAAACGGGGCCUUAGUAUUACUGAACAUAAGCAGAUUCAAGCUUAAAAACAAAACCUACUUAACUAAAGCCAAUCCAAAAAAUUGCAAUACAAAUUUGGAUCCAAAAAAGUGACUGAUAUGUCAACCCUUAAUAAUUUAGACAAAAUAUGAAAUAUCAUAACAGGAAAAUACCUCUUCUCUAUCAUAACUUCAUGUUCGUUUCCGUUUGGAUCACUCAAUGUUACAUAUGUAGAAAUUUAAUACCCAAACUCCCUUGUAAACAUUUAUGAACAAUUAAAUUUGUUACAUAUGUACGAAUAUAAAGCACAAUUAAAUAUUUAUGAACAUGUAGGACGUAUAUUAUGUUAAUUACUAAUGAAGUUAACUACGCCUAACAUAAUACGAUCAAGCAUAGAUUAAAAAGCAACUUAUUGAAGUAAUAUUGCCUCUGCACAUGAAAAAAAAAACAUGUAAUAAAAAUAUUUUCUUAUACAUCUUAUGAAUGGCCAAAUGAACUAUAAAUACGUUUUUUAGCAAUCACAAACAUACUCCACCUUGUUGUAGAAAUAAUUAAAUAGUUUAAGCAUUAUAAAUUUUUAAAGGCUCUUCAUAAUUUUAGAAUUAUUAGUAAAUAUCUCUUAAAUAUAUCAAUGUGCUAUUUUUGUUCAUUUAGCACACAUUAAAGGACUUCAUGUAAUAAAAAUAAUAAUUAAUAUAAUUGAAUACAAUUUUACAAACUUUAGUUUACUUUUUCCUGUAAAUAAUUGUAUUUUUUUUAACCUUUCGUAAGGGUAAAGGGGAAAACAAUUAUACCAUCGUAAAAUUAUGUACGAAUAGAAAGCACAAUUAAAUAUUUAUGAACAAGUAGGACAUAUGUUAUCUUAAUUACUAAUGAAGUUAACUACGCCUUACAUAAUACGACCAAGCAUAGAUUAAAAAGCAACAUAUUGAAGGAACAUUGCCUCAACACAUGAACAAAAACAUGUUAUAAAAAGUUUUUCCUAUAAUCUUAUGAAUGACCAAAUGAACAAUAAAUAAGUUUUUUAACAAUCACAAACAUACUCAACCUUGUUGUAGAAAUAAUUAAAUAGUUUAAGCAUUAUAAAUUUUUAAAUGCUCUUCAUAAUUUUAGAAUUAUUAGUAAAUAUCUCUUAAAUAUAUCAAUGUGUUAUUAUUUUUCAUUUAGCACACAUUAAAGGACUUCAUGUGAUAAAAAUAAUAAUCAAUAAAAUUGAAUGCAAUUUUACAAACUUUAGAUUACUUUUUCCUGUAAAUAAUUGUAUUAUUAUUUUAUUUUAUCCUUUCGUAAGGGAAAAUGGGAUAACAAUUCUACCAUCGUAAAAUUAUGUACGAAUAUAAAGCAAAAUUAAAUAUUUACGAUCAAGUAGGACAUAUGUUAUGUUAAUUACUAAUGAAGUUAACUACGCCUCACAUAAUUAAUAUGACAAAGCAUAGAUUAAAAAGCAAUCUAUUGAAGGAACAUUGCCUCAACACAUGAACAAAAACAUGUUAUAAAAAGUUUUUCCUAUGAUCUUAUGAACGGCCAAAUGAACUAUAAAUAAGUAUUUUAGUAAUCACAAACAUACUCCACCUUCCUACGUUUUGGUACCUUAACUCUUCCUACGUCAACCACUUUGGUCCUUUAUUUUAGGAUGAAUGUAUUUGAGUUAAGGGACCAAAAUAAAACCAAAAAAUAAGUUAAGGGACCAAAACGAAAUUAAAAAAUAAGUUAUGGGACCGAAACGAAACUGUUAAUAGUUAAGGGACCAAAGCGAAACCAAAAAAUAAGUUAGGGGACCAAAAGAGUAAUUAAGCCUAAACUAUCGUAUGUGUUAACUCAUUCGUGGGAAAGGCUUUGAAUAAUCUGUUUUUAUAUCUAUGCUUACCAUUUUAAUUUGAAGAUCCUUCGAUUAUUUUAUUUUAUUUAGAUUCUAAAAGAGUUUCUUUCCAAUUUUUACAUGCAUAACCGUGUGUGUUAACUCAUUUAGAACACGGGAUAGCCUUAGGUAGCAUACAAUGCAAACUUAACUGAUAGUAUGGAUUAUGGAAUGCUUUGUCUUGAUAUUGGAACAACUCUGAACUCAGCUGUAUUAUUUUUUUGAAAAGAUUCUACAUAUAAACUUUAGGCAUGAACCAAAACUAUAUGAUGCAUUUGAAUCUUAUAGCAACCUACAACUCACAAAGUUGUUUAGCAUUGUGUUUGAUGGAAGAAUGUUCUCAUGAUGAAGAUGUUUAUUACACUCGAAAUUAUUCUUGUUAUUUCAUCAAAUUGAUUAGGAUCAAUUUUGAAGUGAAACCAAUUCAUGAAUAUUGAAUUAUUCAUAAAGUUAUUCAUUAAUGAUAUUGAUUGGAGAAUUAUCAAAGAUGAAACUUCAAUAUUAUAUGCAUGGAGAUUCUAUAGUAAAAUACUUAGGACGAUUCAAGAGUUUCCCAUCACUAUUCAAGAUAAGAAUAGAAAUAAAGCAAAGCAAUUUCGACAUUGAGAAAAGUUUUUCAUGUCUCUUAUAGAACAUUCUCGUCACAGAAUAAUCCUUGCGGAGACGAUUAUCUUACUACUAAAUUACUUAAGCAGUUGGUGCAUUUACCAGAUUUAUCAUCAUCUUUCAAAAUUUUGUUUAAACAUAGUAUUGUUUUCGAUUUUAGACAAGAUGGUUUUGACUUAAAACUAGUAAACACACUUAAAAACUAACCUUUUUUUAUAGAUUUUUUCUACCUACAUUAUACCUAAAAGUGAACAAAGUCUUCAAUUUCAAUUUUGGCGAUGUUGAACUUGUGAUAUUUUCAAUGCACUUCACCAAUUUCAACAUAACUAUUAAACUUAUUAUUAUAGGUGUGAUGUGUCCGGAUUGCAAACCAUGGUGAUAUCUCAAAAUUUACGAGACAAGGAGAUCCUAUAAAAAUAAAUUUAAGCCAAAAAAGCUGGAUGCAUAGAUGCAAACCAACCUAAAAUUCAUUAAAAAGAGAACAGAAAUACAAAGGGAAGGGGACUAGGCCGAAACUUCCAAACUAAUAAGAAAAUCUGAAAUUGGACCAGCCAUCUUUAUUCCUAAAGUAACUGGCCCUAGUGUACUCUGGUACAUCAUUCCAAAAGUGAAUAGAAUCAAGAGAUAAACCAUGAUUAGCCAAUGUGUCAGCUACUUGGUUUCCUUCUCUAUAUAUAUGUGAGAUAAUACAUUUGAGGCCCUGGAGAAUUACCUUGACAUUGUUCCAACGAUUUCAUAAGUUCCAAGGAAUCUGAUUAGUACUCUUAGAAGGAAGAACAACUAAUUAGUUCCAAGGAGAUCCUAUAAAUAAAACUCUUUGCUUCCUCGUUUCAUUUUCAUCAUCUUAUAAUACAAAGUCAUAACUUCAAGGUUCUUAAAACUAGGAAAAACAUAAGAAGAAAAUAAUAAUUAUUGAAUGCAUGAACAAAAACUAAAUGACAACAAGUGGAAUAUUCUAGCAUAAGGUAUAUUGAACAGUUCUCUUACUAGAGAAACAUAAUCUUUAACUGUCUAUCGGUGUACAAAAGCCACUACGACACCUAAUAUUAACUCCUCGAAAUUGUGGACAAUCUUUAUCUCUUUUACAACCCCUAAAAUUAAUCAUCUGACUAAAAGAAGAAUUAGUGCAAAGAAAUAUAGAAAGAAAUAAAAUUAUAACAUAAACUAACUUCGGAGUUUCACCCAUUUUUUUUCUUCCUAUUUGCAUCCAAAGAAUAGUAAAUGACUUGAUCUAUUUAUAGUGUAUAGUAAAGUUCAUGCUCUUGUAGAAAUAAUUAAAUAGUUUAAGAAUUAUAAAAUUUUAAAAGCUCUUCAGAAUUUUAGAAUUAUUACUAAAUGUCUCUUAAAUAUAUCAAUGUUUUACUUUUGUUCAUUUAACACACAUAGAAGGACAUCAUGUGAUAAAAAUAAUAAUCAAUAAAAUUGAAUGCAAUUUUACAAACUUUAGGUUACUUUAAUUUUUUUUGUAAAUAAUUGUAUUAUUUUUUUCACCUUUUGUAUGCGUAAAGGGGAAAACAAUUAUACCAUCGUAAAGUUAUGUACGAAUACAAAGCACAAUUAAAUAUUUAUGAACAUGUAGGACGUAUAUUAUGUUAAUUACUAAUAAAUUUAACUACGCCUAACAUAAUACGACCAAGCAUAGAUUAAAAAGCAACCUAUUGAAAGAACAUUGCCUCUACACAUGAAAAAAAAACAUGUAAUAAUAAUAUUUCCUUAUAAUCUUAUGAAUGGCCAAAUGAACUAUAAAUACGUUUUUUAGAAAUCACAAACAUACUCCACCUUGUUGUAGAAAUAAUUAAAUAGUUUAAGCAUUAUAAAUUUUUAAAGGCUCUUCAUAAUUUUAGAAUUAUUAAUAAAUAUCACUUAAAUAUAUCAAUGUGUUAUUUUUGUUCAUUUAGCACACAUUAAGGGACUUCAUGUGAUAAAAAUAAUAAUUAAUAUAAUUGAAUACAAUUUUACAAACUUUAGUUUACUUUUCCUGUAAAUAAUUCUAUUUUUUUUUUAACCUUUCGUAAGGGUAAAGGGGAAAACAAUUAUACCAUUAUAAAAUUAUGCACGAAUAGAAAGCACAAUUAAAUAUUUAUGAACAAGUAGGACGUAUGUUAUCUUAAUUACUAAUGAAGUUAACUACGCCUUACAUAAUACGACCAAGCAUAGAUUAAAAAGCAACAUUUUGAAGGAACAUUGCCUCAACACAUGAACAAAAACAUGUUAUAAAAAGUUUUUCCUAUAAUCUUAUGAAUGGCCAAAUGAACAAUAAAUAAGUUUUUUAACAAUCACAAACAUACUCCACCUUGUUGUAGAAAUAAUUAAAUAGUUUAAGCAUUAUAAAUUUUUAAAUGCUCUUCAUAAUUUUAGAAUUAUUAGUAAAUAUCUCUUAAAUAUAUCAAUGUGUUAUUAUUUUUCAUUUAGCGCACAUUAAAGGACUUCAUGUGAUCAAAAUAAUAAUCAAUAAAAUUGAAUGCAAUUUGACAAACUUUAGAUUACUUUUUUCCUUGUAAAUAAUUGGAUUAUUAUUUUUAUUUAUCCUUUCGUAAGGGAAAAUGUGAUAACAAUUCUACCAUCGUAAAAUUAUGUACGAAUAUAAAGCACAAUUAAAUAUUUAUGAUCAAGUAGGACAUAUGUUAUGUUAGUUACUAAUGAAGUUAACUACGCCUCACAUAAUACGACCAAACAUAGAUUCAAAAGCAACCUAUUAAAGGAACAUUGCCUCAAUACAUGAACAAAAACAUGGUACAAAAAGUUUUUCCUAUAAUCUUAUGAAUGACCAAACAAACUAUACAUAAGUUUUUUAGUAAUCACAAACAUACUUCACCUUUUUGUAGGAAUAAUUAAAUAAGCAUAUUAUAAAUUUUUUAAAGCUCUUCAUAAUUUUAAAAUUAUUAGUAAAUAUCUCUUAAAUAUAUCAAUGUGUUUUUUUUUUUCAUUUGGCACACAUAAAACGACUUCAUGUGAUAAAAAUAAUAAUCAAUAUAAUUAAAUACAAUCUUACGAACUUUAGUUUACUUUUUUCUGUAAAUAAUUGUAUUUUUUUUAGCCUUUCGUGAGGAUAAAGGGGAAAACAAUUACCAUCGUAAAGUUAUGUACGAAUAUAAAGCAGAAUUAAAUAUUUUUGAACAAGUAGGACAUAUGUUAUGUUAAUUACUCAUGAAGUUAACUACGCCUCACAUAAUUAAUAUGACAAAGCAUAGAUUAAAAAGCAAUCUAUUGAAGGAACAUUGUCUCAACACAUGAACAAAAACAUGUUAUAAAAAGUUUUUCCUAUGAUCUUAUGAAUGGCCAAAUGAACUAUAAAUAAGUAUUUUAGUAAUCACAAACAUACUCCACCUUCCUACGUUUUGGUACCUUAACUCUUCCUACGUCAACCACUUUGGUCCUUUAUUUUAGGAUGAAUGUAUUUGAGUUAAGGGACCAAAAUAAAACCAAAAAAUAAGUUAAGGGACCAAAACGAAAUUAAAAAAUAAGUUAUGGGACCGAAACGAAACUUUUAAUAGUUAAGGGACCAAAGCGAAACCAAAAAAUAAGUUAGGGGACCAAAAGAGUAAUUAAGCCUAAACUAUCGUAUGUGUUAACUCAUUCGUGGGAAAGGCUUUGAAUAAUCUAUUUUUAUAUCUAUGCUUACCAUUUUAAUUUGAAGAUCCUUCGAUUAUUUUAUUUUAUUUAGAUUCUAAACGAGUUUCUUUCCAAUUUUUACAUGCAUAACCGUGUGUGUUAACUCAUUUAGAACACGGGAUAGCCUUAGGUAGCAUACAAUGCAAACUUAACUGAUAGUAUGGAUUAUGGAAUGCUUUGUCUUGAUAUUGGAACAACUCUGAACUCAGCUGUAUUAUUUUUUUGAAAAGAUUCUACAUAUAAACUUUAGGCAUGAACCAAAACUAUAUGAUGCAUUUGAAUCUUAUAGCAACCUACAACUCACAAAGUUGUUUAGCAUUGUGUUUGAUGGAAGAAUGUUCUCAUGAUGAAGAUGUUUAUUACACUCGAAAUUAUUCUUGUUAUUUCAUCAAAUUGAUUAGCAUCAAUUUUGAAGUGAAACCAAUUCAUGAAUAUUGAAUUAUUCAUAAAGUUAUUCAUUAAUGAUAUUGAUUGGAGAAUUAUCAAAGAUGAAACUUCAAUAUUAUAUGCAUGGAGAUUCUAUAGUAAAAUACUUAGGACGAUUCAAGAGUUUCCCAUCACUAUUCAAGAUAAGAAUAGAAAUAAAGCAAAGCAAUUUCGACAUUGAGAAAAGUUUUUCAUGUCUCUAAUAGAACAUUCUCGUCACAGAAUAAUCCUUGCGGAGACGAUAAUCUUACUACUAAAUUACUUAAGCAGUUGGUGCAUUUGCCAGAUUUAUCAUCAUCUUUCAAAAUUUUGUUUAAACAGAGUAUUGUUUUCGAUUUUAGACAAGAUGGUUUUGACUUAAAACUAGUAAACACACUUAAAAACUAACCUUUUUUUUUAGAUUUUUUCUACCUACAUUAUACCUAAAAGUGAACAAAGUCUUCAAUUUCAAUUUUGGCAAAGUUGAAUUUGUGAUAUUUUCUAUGCACUUCACCAAUUUCAACAUAACUAUUAAACUUAUUAUUAUAGGUGUGAUGUGUCCGGAUUGCAAACCAUGGUGAUAUCUCAAAAUUUACGAGACAAGGAGAUCCUAUAAAAAUAAAUUUAAGCCAAAAAGGCUGGAUGCAUAGAUGCAAACCAACCUCAAUUUCAUUAAAAAGAGAACAGAAAUACAAAGGGAAGGGGACUAGGCCGAAACUUCCCAACUAAUAAGAAAAUCUGAAAUUGGACCAGCCAUCUUUAUUCCUAAAGUAACUGGCCCUAGUGAACUCUGGUACAUCAUUCCAAAAGUGAAUAGAAUCAAGAGAUAAACCAUGAUUAGCCAAUGUGUCAGCUACUUGGUUUCCUUCUCUAUAUAUAUGUGAGAUAAUACAUUUGAGGCCCUGGAGAAUUACCUUGACAUUGUUCCAACGAUUUCUUAAGUUCCAAGGAAUCUGAUUAGUACUCUUAGAAGCAAGAACAACAAAUUAGUUCCAAGGAGAUCCUAUAAAUAAAACUCUUUGCUUCCUCAUUUCAUUUUCAUCAUCUUAUAAUACAAAGUCAUAACUUCAAGGUUCUUAAAACUAGGAAAAACAUAAGAAGAAAAUAAUAAUUAUUGAAUGCAUGAACAAAAACUAAAUGACAACAAGUGGAAUAUUCUAGCAUAAGGUAUAUUGAACAGUUCUCUUACUAGAGAAACAUAAUCUUUAACUGUCUAUCGGUGUACAAAAGCCACUACGACACCUAAUAUUAACUCCUCGAAAUUGUGGACAAUCUUUAUCUCUUUUACAACCACUAAAAUUAAUCAUCUGACUAAAAGAAGAAUUAGUGCAAAGAAAUAUAGAGAGAAAUAAAAUUAUAACAUAAACUAACUUCGGAGUUUCACCCUUUUUUUUUCUUCCUAUUUGCAUCCAAAGAAUAGUAAAUGACUUGAUCUAUUUAUAGUGUAUAGUAAAGUUCAUGCUCUUGUAGAAAUAAUUAAAUAGUUUAAGAAUUAUAAAAUUUUAAAAGCUCUUCAGAAUUUUAGAAUUAUUACGAAAUGUCUCUUAAAUAUAUCAAUGUUUUCCUUUUGUUCAUUUAACACACAUAGAAGGACAUCAUGUGAUAAAAAUAAUAAAUCAAUAAAAAUGAAUGCAAUUUUACAAACUUUAGAUUACUUUAAUUAUUUCUGUAAAUAAUUGUAUUAUUUUUUUCACCUUUUGUAUGCGUAAAGGGGAAAACAAUUAUACCAUCGUAAAGUUAUGUACGAAUAUAAAGCACAAUUAAAUAUUUAUGAACAUGUAGGACGUAUAUUAUGUUAAUUACUAAUGAAUUUAACUACGCCUAACAUAAUACGACCAAGCAUAGAUUAAAAAGCAACCUAUUGAAGGAACAUUGCCUCUACACAUGAAAAAAAAACAUGUAAUAAAAAUAUUUCCUUAUAAUCUUAUGAAUGGCCAAAUGAUCUAUAAAUACGUUUUUUAGAAAUCACAAACAUACUCCACCUUAUUGUAGAAAUAAUUAAAUAGUUUAAGCAUUAUAAAUUUUUAAAGGCUCUUCAUAAUUUUAGAAUUAUUAGUAAAUAUCACUUAAAUAUAUCAAUGUGUUAUUUUUGUUCAUUUAGCACACAUUAAAGGACUUCAUGUGAUAAAAAUAAUAAUUAAUAUAAUUGAAUACAAUUUUACAAACUUUAGUUUACUUUUUCCUGUAAAUAAUUCUAUUUUUUUUUAACCUUUCGUAAGGGUAAAGGGGAAAACAAUAAUACCAUUAUAAAAUUAUGUACGAAUAGAAAGCACAAUUAAAUAUUUAUGAACAAGUAGGACGUAUGUUAUCUUAAUUACUAAUGAAGUUAACUACGCCUUACAUAAUACGACCAAGCAUAGAUUAAAAAGCAACCUAUUGAAGGAACAUUGCCUCAACACAUGAACAAAAACAUGUUAUAAAAAGUUUUUCCUAUAAUCAUAUGAAUGGCCAAAUGAACAAUAGAUAUGUUUUUUAACAAUCACAAACAUACUCCACCUUGUUGUAGAAAUAAUUAAAUAGUUUAAGCAUUAUAAAUUUUUCAAUGCUCUUCAUAAUUUUAGAAUUAUUAGUAAAUAUCUCUAAAAUAUAUCAAUGUGUUAUUAUUUUUCAUUUAGCACACAUUAAAGGACUUCAUGUGAUAAAAAUAAUAAUCAAUAAAAUUCAAUGCAAUUUUACAAACUUUAGAUUACUUUUUCCUGUAAAUAAUUGUAUUAUUAUUAUUUUAUUUUAUCCUUUCGUAAGGGAAAAUGGGAUAUCAAUUCUACCAUCGUAAAAUUAUGUACGGAUAUAAAGCACAAUUAAAUAUUUAUGAUCAAGUAGGACAUAUGUUAUGUUAAUUAGUAAUGAAGUUAACUACGCCUCACAUAAUACGACCAAGCAUAGAUUCAAAAGCAACCUAUUGAAGGAACAUUCCCUCAACACAUGAACAAAAACAUGGUACAAAAAGUUUUUACUAUAUUCUUAUGAAUGACCAAACGAACUAUAAAUAAAUUUUUUAGUAAUCACAAACAUACUCCACCUUUUUGUAGGAAUAAUUAAAUAAGCAUUUUAAUUUUUAAAAGCUCUUCAUAAUUUUAAAAUUAUUAGUAAAUAUCUCUUAAAUAUAUCAAUGUGUUAUUUUUUUUUCAUUUGGCACACAUAAAACGACUUCAUGUGAUAAAAAUAAUAAUUAAAUACAAUCUUACGAACUUUAGUUUACUUUUUUCUGUAAAUAAUUGUAUUUUUUUUAACCUUUCGUGAGGAUAAAGGGGAAAACAACUACCAUCGUAAAGUUAUGUACGAAUAUAAAGAAGAAUUAAAUAUUUUUGAACAAGUAUGACAUAUGUUAUGUUAAAUUACUAAUGAAGUUAACUACGCCUCACAUAAUUAAUACGACAAAGCAUAGAUUAAAAAGCAAUCUAUUAAAGGAACAUUGCCUCAACACAUGAACAAAAACAUGUUAUAAAAAGUUUUUCCUAUGAUCUUAUGAAUGGCCAAAUGAACUAUAAAUAAGUAUUUUAGUAAUCAGAAACAUACUCCACCUUGUUGUAGAAAUAAUUAAAUAGUUUAAGCAUUAUAAAUUUUUAACAGCUCUUCAUAAUUUUAAAAUUAUUAGUAAAUAUCACUUAAAUAUAUCAAUGUGUUAUUUUUUUUUUCAUUUGGCAGACAUAAAACGACUUCAUGUGAUAAAAAUAAUAAUCAAUAUAAUUGAAUACAAUUUUACAAUUCUUUUUUUUUCUUUUCUUUAUCUUAGUACAAUUUGGUAAAAUUAAGAGUCAGAGAACACUAUCGAUGAAAUUUUGUCUGGCGACGUUAUUACUGUUCACCGUCUUCCUUAAUGGUCUCUAAACCCUCCACCGCCAUGCCUAAUCAACCCCCUUCUUCUUCCCAACCUUUUCUAAUCCCAUGGAAAUGUCUGGACGAUUCUGAAUCUGUGAUGAUCGCACAAAAAACACCAACCAAAAAUUUACCCAAAGCUCAAAUGACGUUUGCGCAAGCCCUAACAAACGUUUGUGAUACUCCUUCCAGUCAGUUACCUAAACCUACAAUCAAAGGCGACAAGUUUUCAAUUUCGAUUCCUGAUGAGGAAUAUGAUUUGGGUUUGGAUGGAUGCAAAAAUAACCUUCAUGCACGUAUCAUCUGGCCAAAGGGUUCCUCACCCUUAACUGUUGUUGCCUUGAAAGAAAAGUUAAAGCCUAUAUGGAAAAACCUAGCUCCAUGGGGUGUUACAUCCAUAGGGAAAGGGUUUUAUGAAUUUGUGUUUUCCUCUAUUGAGGAUGCUCGUAGGGUAAGAUCUGUUGGUUCAUGGAUUUUAAAUCCAGGGCUGCUGAAACUCUUUCCUUGGACAAGUGAUUUCAGUCCAAACCUGCAAACUAAUACCUCAGCUCAAGUAUGGUUGAAAAUUCAUGGUCUUUCUCAAGAAUACUGGAGAAAGAGGAUUAUUUUUGCGAUUGCAAGCAGUGUUGGCACCCCCAUCUGUGUGGACUCUAUUACAAGUAAGCCUGCUAUUGAAAGGACUUUUGGCCACUUUGCUAGGGUUUUGAUUGAUAUUGAUCUGAGUAAGGAACUGAGAUAUGAGGUUCUUGUGGAAAGGAGAGGUUAUGCUUUCUUUGUGGAGUUGGAAUAUGAGAAUCUACCAGAUUUUUGUGGUUAUUGCCAGGCGGUGGGUCAUAAUGUUAGUGUUUGUAGGAAAGCUAACAAGAAACACAUGGAAACAAAUCAACAUGUGGGAAACAGUGGAGCAGCUGCGGUGAUGAAUGACAAAAAUAAAGGAAAAGCUCCUCUGGAAAAACAGGACAACGUUUGGAUCCCUAAAACAACUUCUGUUGUUGAUUUAGAAGCUGAAAAUCAAGACAAACAAAUACAUCUACAAGAUGAGGGGAACAAAGACUCGGAUGGUACAAAAUCAAAUGCAUCACAGGCGCAACCUCAACCUGUAGCAAUUGAAAUCAUUAGUAACUCCCCUGUUGUGGAAAGGGUGCAACCUGAAGUUCAGCAAUCAGUUGAAGAUGUUAGUGAUAACAGCUCUCAAGAAUCUGAAUUUGUAGAUGCUACUCAACAACACAAUGAUGAUACGGAUGAUAUUUCAAGUCAGGAGCAAGAUUCAACUAUCAGAACUCAGCAAAAUACGCAUUUUCUCAAUCAAUCAUGGGCUAAUCUUGCAGCUACUGAUGAGGAUUUGAUCAGGCAACAGGAAGCGGAGCUAGUUGCAAAAUUAGCUCAGGAAGCAGACAUAGAUGUGCAGAUUUAUCAGGAGGAUCUAAACAAUAUAGAAGCUUCUAGAUUUGAGUUGGUGACUAAUAGAAGAAAGAAAAUCCACAAGGCUAAAUCAAAUAAAGCAAGCAGCUCAUACCUUACUAGGUCUAAGGUCCCAACUAAACUUUCUCAAUGAAGUGCUUAUAUUGGAAUAUAAGGGGAUUAGCUAACUCCCCAUCAAGGUUAGCCCUUAAAAAUUUAAUUACUGCUCAUAAACCACAUAUUGUCAUUAUCUCUGAACCUUGGCUUUUGUUUGAACAUUUCCCUAGACAUUGGUUUCACAGACUGCGUUUUAAACUCUUUGCCCUAAAUACUAGAAAUAAUCUUGAUCCUAAUCUAUGGUGCUUGUGCCUCAAUCAUUUAACCCCUGAUGUUUUGUCCAUCACUGACCAACAAAUUACUUUUUCCCUAAAAGACAACAACAUAACUUUUGCUAUAUCAGCCAUAUAUGCUUCCACCAACUACAUACAUAGGAGACAACUCUGGCAAACCCUAACAAACCUUCAAAACCAAUACAAUUUACCUUGGUGCUCUAUUGGUGAUUUCAACACCAUAUUGGGGUCUCAUGAGCACAGGGGUACCUCAACUCCAGCUAGAGGUCCCAUGAAUGAUUUUGCUGAAUGGUCCAAUCAAAAUUAUCUUUUCCAUCUACCAACUAGAGGAGUGCAAUUUACCUGGUCCAGUGGUAGGAGUGGACGAAGGCUCACCGAAAGGAGGUUAGACAGAGCAAUAUGCAAUCAAUCAUGGUUGGAUAUGUGCUCCGCUUUAAAUGUUUCCACUCUCUCAAGGCUGAAGUCUGACCAUUUUCCUUUACUAAUGGAUUUUGAAACCUCUACAAUCUCUUUUGCUUCACAAUUUAAAUUCAUGAAUAUGUGGAGUUUGCAUGCUGAUUGUAAAAAUCUGAUUCAACAAAGUUGGAAUGAAACUGUUGUGGGAUGCCCUAUGUUUAUUUUGAACCAAAAGCCGAAGAACCUCAAACAAAAACUCAAGAUAUGGAACAAAACAGUUUUUGGCAAUCUCAACUCGAUAGUUAAAGAAGCCGAACAAAAGUUGCUAUACAUCCAAGAUGAAAUUGACUCCAAUGGUGCCACUGAAACUCUUCUUGAACAUCAAAAAAUGGCACAGAUUUCUUUGGAGCAUGCUUUAGAAAUAGAAGAGGAGUUUUGGAGGGAAAAAUCCAAUAAUGCUUGGCAUGCUCAAGGAGACAGAAACACCAAAUAUUUCCACAGACUAGCCAACAUCAAACACACAUCCAAACGCAUUGAUUCUAUUAAGGAUGGGGAGAACUUGAUUAUUGAGCCAGACAAAUUUCAUCUCACAUAACAAAUCACUUCCAAAAUAUUUUUUCUUCUAAUUUUUCUGUGCAGGAUUUGCAGGUUGAUGAAUUAAUUGAUGGUGUGAUUCUAACAUGAUAAAUGAAGACUCUAAUCAUAUUCUCACAAUGCUUCCAACUCCCCAAGAAAUCUUCCAGGCUGUUUGUUCUUUGAAGAAGGAUAGUGCUCCAGGCCCUGAUGGUUUUGGGGCAAGUUUUUAUCAAAAUUAUUGGGAGAUUGUAAAGAAUGAUGUUAUUAAUGCUGUUUUGGAAUUUUUUACAAAGGACUGGUUGCUCCCUAACUUUAACUCCAAUACCAUUGUGCUUAUACCUAAAGUUUCAGAGGCAUUGACAGUAAAUCAGUAUAGGCCAAUUGCCCUGGCCAACUUCAAGUUCAAGAUUGUUUCUAAGAUUCUUGCAGAUAGGUUAGCUCCCAUCAUGAAGAACAUCAUCUCUCCUCAGCAGCGGGGCUUCAUUCAAGGUAGGAACAUAAGGGACUGUAUUUGUGUAACUUCUGAAGCUAUCAAUCAACUCCACAACAAGUCUUUUGCAGGGAAUUUGGCAUUCAAAGUUGACAUUUCUAAAGCUUUUGACACUUUAGAAUGGAAGUUUCUGAUCAAAGUUUUAAGUAGUUUUGGUUUCAAUGACAGAUUUUGCUCAUGGAUAAAAACCAUUCUAAAUUCUGUCUCUUUAUCUAUUAAUGUGAAUGGUAAACUGCAUGGGUUUUUCAAAUGCAAGAGAGGGGUCAGGCAGGGAGACCCACUUUCUCCACUUCUCUUUUGUAUUGCUGAAGACGUUUUAAGCAGGAAUAUUUAUAAACUGGUAGAACAAGGCAAACUCAACCUUAUCAAAGGCACAAGAAACACUCCAGUUCCUUCUCAUUCCUUAUAUGCGGAUGAUAUUAUGAUAUUUUGUAAGGGGAAUAUUUCUUCUGUUCAUGCUCUAAUGAAUCUUUUUAAUUCUUAUGCUUUGGCUUCAGGACAGUUUAUCAAUCCUUCCAAGUCUACGGUUUUUCAUGGUUCCAUUUCAAAUGCUAGACUGGAGCAGAUUGUUAACUUAAUUGGCUUUAACAGAGGCACCCUCCCUUUCUCUUACCUUGGAGUCCCAAUUUUCAAGGGGAAGCCAAAGAAGUCUCAUUUACAACCUAUUGCUGACAAGAUAAAAUCUGAGCUUAGUGCGUGGAAAGCAUCUCUUUUAUCCAUUGCAGGAAGAGUCACUUUAGUCAAGUCGGUAAUUCAAGGAAUGAUGAUACACACUAUCUCUGUGUACUCUUGGCCCACCUCAUUAAUUAAAUAUGUUGAGGUUUGGAUUAGGAAUUUUAUAUGGAGUGGAGAUAUUUCAAAGAGGAAAUUGGUAACGGUUUCUUGGAAGAAAGUCUGUAGACCCUUUUCUAAAGGAGGGUUGGGAUUGAGAUCUUUACACACGGUUAAUGAGGCUGCCAACUUGAAGUUGUGUUGGGAUCUCAAAAAUUCAAUGGAAGACUGGGCCAUUCUUUUACGGAGCAAGGUCUGCAGAGGUAACAACAUCAUUUCUCAUCAUAUUUUCUCAUCUAUUUGGAGUAGUGUUAAAUCUGAGUUCAAUACCAUCAAUGAUAAUUGUUGUUGGAUCAUUGGUAAUGGGGAAAAAAUUAAUUUCUGGUUGGAUUCUUGGCUUGAGAAACCGAUUGCUUCCAUUCUUAACUUGCCUGAAACUGUUCACGGUAACUUAAAGGACAAGGUGUGUGAUUUUUUGCACAACUCAACAUGGCACCUCCCACAACAUCUUCUAAAUUCAUUCCCCAAUCUGGGGCAUAUUGUUAUGCAAGUUACUCUUCCGAGUGAAUCAAAGGAGGAUAGUUUGGUUUGGAAACAUUGUGCAUCAGGGGCUUUAUCUUUUAAAGACGCCUUUUUGUUCAAAUAUGGUUUAGGGCAGAAUGUUUCUUGGGCUAAACAAAUCUGGUGCACAGACAUACCUCCCUCUAAGUCUUUGAUGACUUGGAAGCUCAUGCACAAUAAACUAUCAACAGAUGAAAAUCUAAUGCUUAGGGGUUGUAAUUUACCUUCAAUGUGCUCAUCUUGUCAAGCUUCUUCAGAAACUACCUUUCAUCUCUUCUUUGAAUGCAAUUUUGCUACUAAAAUGUGGUCUUGGCUAGCUUCCCUUCUCAAUACUCCUCUUCAAUUCAGCACCUCUGCAGAUAUGUGGUCUCCUCUUCAACUCAACUGGACUCCUCAAUGCAAAGUGGUGAUAACGGCCUGCAUCAUAAACUUGUUAAAUGUUAUCUGGUUUAGAAGAAACAACAUCCGUUUUCAAGACAAAGUGAUUGAUUGGAAAACAGCCAUCAAUAUGAUUAUCUCUAAAGUCUCACUUUCAGGUAACUUAACCAAAAAAACAUCAGCUGCUAAUAUGUUGGAGUUCACAAUUUUCAAAGCCUGCAAGGUUAGCAUCAAGCCCCCCCAGGACCCCUCUGCUCAAAGAAGUUAUUUGGGCUCCUCCUCUGAAUUCUUGGGUUAAAAUUAACACGGAUGGGGCAUCAAUUAAAAAUCCUACUAGAGCUGCAGCUGGUGGUAUCUUCAGAAAUUCGGAUGGUGCUUGUUUGGGUGGAUUUGCUCAGUAUCUUGGUAGUGCAAAUGCUUUGUAUGCUGAACUGUCGGCAGCUAUGAAUGCAAUUGAAAUUGCUUCACUAAUGGGCUUCUCCAAUGUGUGGUUAGAAUCAGACUCUCAAUUGGUGAUUUUGGCGUUUAACUCAAUUUAUGUGGUUCCUUGGGGGUUAAGAAAUAGGUGGGAAAAUUGCUUAAAACUUACUUAUAAUAUGAGGUUUUGUGCUUCUCACAUCUAUAGGGAAGGGAAUACUUGUGCAGAUAAACUUGCUAACUUUGGUUUAUCUUUGUCCUCUUUGGAUUUAUUUUGGUUUGAUUCCAUACCUGCUUUUGUAAGCGAGGAGUACAAUAGGAAUAGGUUGGGAAUGCCCAAUUUUAGAUAUGUAACCUUUUGAAAAGGUUUGGUUUGGUCCCCCUUUUCUUCUUUGUACUUUUUUUCUCUCUUUUUAAUGAAUUAAUCUGAUGCUCUUUGCAUCGUUUAUAAAAAAAAAAGAAUACAAUUUUACAAACUUUAGUUUACUUUUUCCUGUAAAUAAUUCUAUUUUUUUUUAACCUUUCGUGAGGGUAAAGGGGAAAACAAUUAUACCAUUAUAAAAUUAUGUACGAAUAGAAAGCAGAAUUAAAUAUUUUUGAACAAGUAUGACAUAUGUUAUGUUAAAUUACUAAUGAAGUUAACUACGCCUCACAUAAUUAAUACGACAAAGCAUAGAUUAAAAAGCAAUCUAUUAAAGGAACAUUGCCUCAACGCAUGAACAAAAACAUGUUAUAAAAAGUUUUUCCUAUGAUCUUAUGAAUGGCCAAAUGAACUAUAAAUAAGUAUUUUAGUAAUCAGAAACAUACUCCACCUUGUUGUAGAAAUAAUUAAAUAGUUUAAGCAUUAUAUAUUUUUAACAGCUCUUCAUAAUUUAAAAAUUAUUAGUAAAUAUCUCUUAUAUAUAUCAAUGUGUUAUUUUUGUUCAUUUAGAAAACAUAACAGGACUUAAUGUGAUAAAAAUAAUAAUCAAUAUAAUUGAAUACAAUUUUACAAACUUUAGUUUACUUUUUCCUGUAAAUAAUGGUAUUUUUUUUAACCUUUUGUGAGGUAAAGGGGAAAACAAUUAUACCAUCUUAAAGUUAUGUACGAAUAUAAAGCACAAUUAAAUAUUUUUGAACAAGUAGGACAUAUAUGUUAUGUUAAUUACUAAUGAAGUUAACUAAGCCUCACAUAAUACGACCAAGCAUAGAUUAAAAAGCAAUAUAUUGAAGGAACAUUGCUUCAACACAUGAACAAAAACAUGUUAUAAAAAGUUUUUCCUAUGAUCUUAUGAAUGGCCAAAUGAACUAUAAAUAAGUUUUUUAGUAAUCACAAACAUACUCCACCUUGUUGUAGAAAUAAUUAAAUAGUUUAAGAAUUAUAAAUUUUUAAAGGCUCUUCAUAAUUUUAGAAUUAUUAGUAAAUAUCUCUUAAAUAUAUCAAUGUGUUAUUUUUGUUCAUUUAGCACACAUUAAAGGACUUCAUGUGAUAAAUAUAAUAAUCAAUAUAAUUGAAUACAAUUUUACAAACUUUAGUUUACUUUUUCCUGUAAAUAAUUGGAUUUUUUUUAACCUUUUGUUAGGGUAAAGGGGAAAACAAGUAUACCAUCGUAAAGUUAUGUACGAUUAUAAAGCACAAUUAAAUAUUUUUGAACAAGUAAAAUGUAUUUUAUGUUAAUUACUAAUGAAGUUAACUACACCUCACAUAAUACGACCAAGCAGAGAUUAAAAAAGCAAUCUAUUGAAGGAACAUUGCCUCAAAACAUGAACAAAAACAUGUUAUAAUUUUUUUUUUCAUAUACUCUUAUGAAUGGCCAAAUGAAUUAUAAAGAAGUUUUUUAGCAAUAACAAACAUACUUCACAUUGUUGUAAGAAAAUUGAUAACUGGUGAAUAAAUUGGUUACCACGUUGCACUUAACUCUUAUAUUGGACAAGUAAUUUAGUGAUUGCAGUGCUUUAACAUCUAAUAUGUGUUUAUUUUAGAAUUUUAUGCUUUUAAGUGUUUUUAGUAUUUUGGAACUAGUAAUGCUUGUUUAUGAUGUUUGAUGAUGUAGGUUAAGGAAUUAAUUUUUGAAAACAUCACAGCGAAAUAAUAAUAUCAUUGCAUCUCAUCAACAUGCAUUAAAGAUGUAUAAAGCUCCAAAGCAAUUAAUUUUUGAUGAUGUAGGUUUUAGGACUUUGGAAUUAACAUGCAUAAUUAAUUUUUCAAAACAUCACAGCGAAAUAAUAAUAUCAUUGCAUCUCAUCAACAUCUAAACAAAACCUCCAAAGUAGCUCCAAACUAAGAAUCUCGAAAAGUCAUAGAAUCUAUAUAACAGACAGAUACACUAAUUAGAGGCGACACACUAAGAAUCUGAAAGCAAACGACGAGGUAGCUCCAAAGCUAGCCUCCGGCAACUCACCAAGUAAAACAAAUCUACUCAUCCAUACAAAUAAGGUAGGUAGUCAACCAAAUGACCACUGGGUCAAUUCACAUUUCGCAAUUAAAGUAU